rnacentral:rRNA from 1 species
UACGGAGGGUGCAAGCGUUAAUCGGAAUUACUGGGCGUAAAGCGUGCGUAGGCGGUUCGUUAAGUCUGUUGUGAAAGCCCCGGGCUCAACCUGGGAAUGGCAAUGGAUACUGGCGAGCUAGAGUGUGUCAGAGGAUGGUGGAAUUCCCGGUGUAGCGGUGAAAUGCGCAGAUAUCGGGAAGAACACCCGUGGCUAAGGCGGCUCUCUAGUACGGUACUGACGCUGAGACGCGAAAGCGUGGGGAGCGAACAGG